CAUGCAAGUCGAGGGGGCAGCAUGAAAAGUUUGCUUGCAAAACUUUUGAUGGCGACCGGGCGCACGGGUGAGUAACACGUAUCCAACCUGCCUCAUACUCGGGGGAUAGCCUUUCGAAAGAAAGAUUAAUACCCGAUGUCAUAGUCCUACCGCAUGAAUGGGAUUAUUAAAGAAUUUCGGUAUGGGAUGGGGAUGCGUUCCAUUAGUUAGUUAGCGGGGUAACGGCCCACCAAGACAACGAUGGAUAGGGGUUCUGAGAGGAAGGUCCCCCACAUUGGAACUGAGACACGGUCCAAACUCCUACGGGAGGCAGCAGUGAGGAAUAUUGGUCAAUGGACGAGAGUCUGAACCAGCCAAGUAGCGUGAAGGAUGACUGCCCUAUGGGUUGUAAACUUCUUUUAUAUGGGAAUAAAAUGUUCCACGUGUGGGAUUUUGUAUGUACCAUAUGAAUAAGGAUCGGCUAACUCCGUGCCAGCAGCCGCGGUAAUACGGAGGAUCCGAGCGUUAUCCGGAUUUAUUGGGUUUAAAGGGAGCGUAGGUGGAUUGUUAAGUCAGUUGUGAAAGUUCGCGGCUCAACCGUAAAAUUGCAGUUGAAACUGGCAGUCUUGAGUACAGUAGAGGUGGGCGGAAUUCGUGGUGUAGCGGUGAAAUGCUUAGAUAUCACGAAGAACUCCGAUUGCGAAGGCAGCUCACUGGACUGCAACUGACACUGAGGCUCGAAAGUGUGGGUAUCAAACAGGAUUAGAUACCCUGGUAGUCCACACAGUAAACGAUGAAUACUCGCUGUUUGCGAUAUACGGCAAGCGGCCAAGCGAAAGCAUUAAGUAUUCCACCUGGGGAGUACGCCGGCAACGGUGAAACUCAAAGGAAUUGACGGGGGCCCGCACAAGCGGAGGAACAUGUGGUUUAAUUCGAUGAUACGCGAGGAACCUUACCCGGGCUUAAAUUGCACCUGAAUAAUGUGGAAACAUGUUAGCCGUAAGGCAGGUGUGAAGGUGCUGCAUGGUUGUCGUCAGCUCGUGCCGUGAGGUGUCGGCUUAAGUGCCAUAACGAGCGCAACCCUUAUCUUCAGUUACUAACAGGUCAUGCUGAGGACUCUGGAGAGACUGCCGUCGUAAGAUGUGAGGAAGGUGGGGAUGACGUCAAAUCAGCACGGCCCUUACGUCCGGGGCUACACACGUGUUACAAUGGGAGGUACAGAAGGCCGCUACCUGGCGACAGGAUGCCAAUCCCCAAAACCUCUCUCAGUUCGGAUCGAAGUCUGCAACCCGACUUCGUGAAGCUGGAUUCGCUAGUAAUCGCGCAUCAGCCAUGGCGCGGUGAAUACGUUCCCGGGCCUUGCACACAAGCGCCCGUCAAG
rnacentral:rRNA from 1 species